rnacentral:lncRNA from 1 species
AUGUCUUUAUCUUUUCAGUGCCCUCGAAAACUGGAACUAAAACCCACUAUGUCACAAUCCUUGAUGAACCAGAUGACGCUUAAUGCAAGCUGGUUUCCUCAAUUCAACCUCCUGAACCAGGCUGAUCACAAUCUACACUACAGUUCCCAGCUCCCCAACAACCCUUGUUGUUCCACAAACUCUGCCUACAGGACAUCAAACUCUCCCUCAGCAUCAAUCUGAGCCAGGCUUGUUCUGCAUUUUUCAUAGGACCGCUGCGUCUCCGUUUACAUUUGUUUGGACACAAAACCAAGCAGAAAAUAUAUUUCAGAGAGGCGACAUGACAAUAACUGUGUUGCCUGAUCAUUUGUGCUUAAGGAUAAAAAGCGGCUGAAAGUUCACCUGAAGGUCAUAAUGAGCUGCUAGAGGAAACAGUAAACUGUAUUCUCCUGCCCUUAUAAUGGAAUUAUGAUGGAUGGACGGAAGAAGGUAACUAAUGUUAAAGGUGGAACAGAGUUUUAAGAUGUGUUUCAGGAAACUGUGUUUAAAAAAGUACGGUUUUGUUGACUAUGGCAUAUCCUUUUUAAGUGGGUGCAUUUUAACUUAAUGACCUGGAUCAUUUGAAAAAUGGUAGAAAAACAAAACAAGUUGUUCCUGGUGGUUUUGUAAUGUGCUCUCAAUAUUACAUGAAAGUUUAUUGUCUUUACUGGUUUGUUUCACUUGAAGAAUAGAAAUGACUGGCUGCCUUUCAGAAGUUUCCCCAUUGCCAUUUUGACUGAUAUGCUUAAAGGAAAAAUCCACCCUCUAGUUCUGUUACACUGUUAAUUAACUUGUGAUAUACAGUUUAAUAUCUGGGUGUGUGCAGAGGGGGUGGCUCUGGUGGCUAAAGCCCCUGCCCUUAAUCAAAAAUCUGGGGCUUUUCUUAUCACUGCUACCUCAUCUCUCUUUAAAUACUGUAUAUAGGUUUGUACAUAUUUCAGUACAUUUGCUGCAGCGACAUCACAUUACAUUAAGAAAAGGUAGUAAGACAAAGCAUGAGAAGAAAAAGUGAAUCUGAAUUUUUCAACAUUUUAUCUAUUUCCCACAACAACUAUGUGCAAAAGCCAGAGAAGUAAUAUUUGUCUGAUGUGUAUCACUGGCGUGAACAGACAAUAGCCCCAGCAUGCUCUGUUCAUAAACACAAAGUAACAUUUAAAACUGCAUUUAUAAACUCUGGUGAAAUUACACUACAUUAAAACUAAUUUUAAACACAGGGAAAAGGAGACAACUUUUUUGGUUCUUUAGUAAAACAAAUGUGUCUUCACUGUGCAGCACAAGGCAUCAGAUGAACGGACACAGCAACAGUGAGCACAGUUUUUAAGAUAAGCUGCCUUUUUGUUGUAAUAUUUUAGUCAAGGUAAAAUAAAUACUAAAUAACAAGUACAACAAGUAUAACAAAUACAUACAUCAUAGUAUUUUUACAUAAGCCCCUGCUCUUGUGAAACUGUCUGCACAUUCCUCUUUAAAAUAUACAUUUAAAAUAUUAUUGAAUAUCCCUAGAACUGCACCUUUUUGCUUCCGUUUUACAUUUAUUUUUACACCCCUUCUCCUUAUUCCUCUGUGUAUAUUAAUGAACAAAAAGACAUUUAAACAAAGUGAGUGAAUUUCCCUGCAUAGAUGGUUUCAAUUUUCAUAUUUUUUGACAUCUUAAAACUGAACUAAAGAAAAAUCACUAAGAAAAGAAUAUUUUACUUAUAAUUUAUUUAUUAUUUCCUUUUCAUCUUUUUCUUGUUCAACAUCUUGGGAUUCCUCAGAAUUAUUUGUGACCAUUGGAGAGUCCCAGCUUGGAAACCACUUUAAAAUAAAUAUGAUAUAUAUACAGUAUAUUUACAUAUAAAUAAUUAUCUGACUUAUCACCAGAGUUUAGCUAUAAAUCAGAAUCCAAAUUCAAUAGUACACAAAACAAUUGAUAAAAACAAUGUAAGCUUAAAUAGUGUUUUGUAACAGUUUAAGUACUGUGGGUGGAUUUUACCUUUAAAUUAGAUUUUUCCCUAUGAGAUGAAUUGAUUUUUCAAAAAAAGAGUUAUAAUGUUGAGGACACUAACAUUUCUACUGAGAUCGUUGUAGCUUUGAUAGUUGUGAUCAUUUUAAAAAUGGAGAAAUAUUUUCUCAAGCCAAAUCUUCUUUUUUCCUUUGUGCUGUAGGUCUCAGGUCUUUAGGGAUCUUUUAUUCUUGUGCUUCUACUGUUUUUGCUUUUUAAAACCCCACAGUAGGUAUGAAUACAUUUAAAACUAAGGAACAAGUGAAUGUAUUCAAGAGCUGUUUUAUUACCUUUUCUUUGUAUUGCUUGCUAUAUCUGUUGACUGAGAACUAUGCUGAACUCUACAACUAAUGCAUUGGGCACGUCAGUCCGGUUAUACAACCCACCUCGCCUCCAUGUUUACAGGUUAGAUUUGCAGCUGCUCUCAGCAUAGUGAUCAAAUAUUAGACAAUCCAUUCAUUGGACAAGUUGUCGCUCUCAAUCAAGGUGGAAAAAGAUGGAAAAAACUGCUUUAUAGCUUAUGCAGGUGAUGGUGUUGAUGCACACUGUAAUAGUAAUUUCCAUCUUAACACUGGAAGUUCGGUUUGUGUUUAAAUACAACAGUGAAACAGCAGAAUAAUGUCAGUUUAGUAAGUACCCCACAAAACCAACAUGAUUCACAGGAAUAAAAUAUAAGUACAAUUACAUUUUAAUCCUGUCUUUUGGCUCAGUAACGUUUUAAAAUAUGGUUAAAGAGAUUACAGCCAUUUCUAAAGGACAAUAUACAAAUAUAUACAGACUUUAUUACAGGCUACAGUGGUUGUAGCGUUCAUAUGGAGUACAGAGAAGUGCAAGUGUCAAUUAGAUAAAGUGUCAAAACAAUUAGCUGGCAGCUUUUACUUGUUUCUUUUCAGCACCCAGUGUCACGUUAAGAUGGAGAUUGCUCACUUUGACAGGACUAUCAUUGGUUUUCUUGGCCACUAGAGUCUGGAUGUGGAUGAAAAAGAGAUUUUACUAAGUGCUUAAACUAGAUAUAGAGUAUCCAAACCCUGGGUUGAUCAGGGCAGGUGCAGAGGUAGUUGGUUUGAAAUGUGAUGCUCCAAAGUUGGAUCCUGGAUCCACUGAAGAGGAACGUUUUAUGUAGUGAUGAAAAAAAAAAGUGUAUAAAUUGUGAAUAAACUUCAGUUUAUUGUUAUUUCAGUGUCUUCUUUUCAAUUGUGCUUACAUUUAUGUGCCACUGAAUCAAUCUGAAAAUGACUGCUUUGAAUUGGAAGUACAUCUGGGGCAAAUGUGCUUCUGG